CACAUAUUCACUGACAGACACACACAUACAGACACAUUGACACACACAUACUCACUGGCAGGCACACACAUACUCGCUGACAGACACACACAUACUUGCUGACAGACACACACACUGACAGACACACACACACACUCACAGACAGACACACACAAACAUACUCACUGACAGAGACACACACAUACUCACAGACAGACACACACACAUACAAACAGACACAUUGACAGACAUACACACACACUGACAGACAGACAGAGAGACACGCACACUGACAGACAGACACACACACACACUGACAGAUACACACACAUAUUCACUGACAGAGACAGACAGACACACACACUGAGACACACACACUGACAGACACACACACACACACUGACAGUCACACACACACACACACACACACUCACAGACAGACACACAUACUCACAGACAGACACACACUGACAGACACACAUACAGAUACACUGACAGACACACACACAUACUCACUGACAGACACACACACACACACACUGACAGUCACACACACACACACUCACAGACAGACACACAUACUCACAGACAGACACACACACACAUACUCACUGACAGACACACGCACAUACUCACAGACACACACACAGAAACACACACACACUCACUGAGAGACAGACACACACACACACAUACUCACUGACAGACACACACACAGACACACACAUACUUGCUGAUACACACACACAGACAGAGACACACACAUACUUUUAUUUAUUGCUCCUUUCCUUAUGGAGCUGGUGUGGGGAUCUUCUGUAUGGAGAUCUCCAUUCCUGCUCAUCACUGC